rnacentral:rRNA from 1 species
GAUGAACGCUGGCGGCGUGCUUAACACAUGCAAGUCGAACGAAGCAUUUAAGACAGAUUACUUCGGUUUGAAGUCUUUUAUGACUGAGUGGCGGACGGGUGAGUAACGCGUGGGUAACCUGCCUCAUACAGGGGGAUAGCAGCUGGAAACGGCUGGUAAUACCGCAUAAGCGCACAGUACCACAUGGUACAGUGUGAAAAACUCCGGUGGUAUGAGAUGGACCCGCGUCUGAUUAGCUUGUUGGCGGGGUAACGGCACACCAAGGCGACGAUCAGUAGCCGACAGGGGAGGGGGACCGGCUGGAUUGGGACUGAGGCACGGCCCAGACUCGUACGGGAGGCAGCAGUAGGGAAUAUUGCACAAUGGAGGAAACUCUGAUGCAGCGACGCCGGGGGAGUGAAGAAGUGGUUCGCUAUGUAAAGCUCUAUCAGCAGGGAAGAGAGUGACGGUAACUGACUAAGAAGCUCCGGCUAAAUACGUG